CCUACGGGUGGCAGCAGUGGGGAAUAUUGCACAAUGGGCGCAAGCCUGAUGCAGCCAUGCCGCGUGUGUGAAGAAGGCCUUCGGGUUGUAAAGCACUUUCAGCGGGGAGGAAGGCGGUGAGGUUAAUAACCUCAUCGAUUGACGUUACCCGCAGAAGAAGCACCGGCUAACUCCGUGCCAGCAGCCGCGGUAAUACGGAGGGUGCAAGCGUUAAUCGGAAUUACUGGGCGUAAAGCGCACGCAGGCGGUCUGUCAAGUCGGAUGUGAAAUCCCCGGGCUCAACCUGGGAACUGCAUUCGAAACUGGCAGGCUAGAGUCUUGUAGAGGGGGGUAGAAUUCCAGGUGUAGCGGUGAAAUGCGUAGAGAUCUGGAGGAAUACCGGUGGCGGAGGCGGCCCCCUGGACAAAGACUGACGCUCAGGUGCGAAAGCGUGGGGAGCAAACAGGAUUAGAUACCCGAGUAGUC
rnacentral:rRNA from 1 species